rnacentral:rRNA from 1 species
GAUGAACGCUGGCGGCGUGCCUAAUACAUGCAAGUCGAGCGAACAGACGAGGAGCUUGCUCCUCUGACGUUAGCGGCGGACGGGUGAGUAACACGUGGAUAACCUACCUAUAAGACUGGGAUAACUUCGGGAAACCGGAGCUAAUACCGGAUAAUAUAUUGAACCGCAUGGUUCAAUAGUGAAAGACGGUUUUGCUGUCACUUAUAGAUGGAUCCGCGCCGCAUUAGCUAGUUGGUAAGGUAACGGCUUACCAAGGCAACGAUGCGUAGCCGACCUGAGAGGGUGAUCGGCCACACUGGAACUGAGACACGGUCCAGACUCCUACGGGAGGCAGCAGUAGGGAAUCUUCCGCAAUGGGCGAAAGCUUGACGGAGCAACGCCGCGUGAGUGAUGAAGGUCUUCGGAUCGUAAAACUCUGAUAUUAGGGAAGAACAAAUGUGUAAGUAACUAUGCACGGCUUGACGGUACCUAAUCAGAAAGCCACGGCUAACUACGUG